CCCUGCCAUUUGUACACACCGCCCGUCGCUACUACCGAUUGAAUGGCUCGGUGAGGCCUUCGGACUGGCCCAGGGAGGUCGGCAACGACCACCCAGGGCCGGAAAGUUGGUCAAACCCGGUCAUUUAGAGGAAG
rnacentral:rRNA from 1 species